GGGAGCAGGAGGACCGCUGACAGGGUUAGACCCUGAGGAAAGUCCCCUCUCCGUAGUGCAAACGGUCCGGGGCAAUCCGGAUGCCUGGGAGGGCAGGCUCUGUAGCAGAAACGAACAGUGUUGGGGUAGUACAAUGAUGCCGAAAGGCGGAGGUUUCCCGACUACUGAUGAGACGAGCAUCCCCGUUGGAGCAAGUCCAAACAGACCCGUCGACGCGGCACGCAGAGGGUCGGGUAGGACGCAUAGUUGAAUGCGGUUAACCGUAAAUGGCGAACAGAAAGGGGCUUAUUCCCUGCACCC
rnacentral:RNase_P_RNA from 1 species